CUUGGUGUCCUGAACGUCUUGAGAUGAACGCCCGAUUCCUCAUCGUUGCCGCAGGCCUCGUGGCCCUGGUGCUCUUGGCCCAGACGAUGCCAACUGAAGCUCAGAUUACGUUCAGCAAGAGUUGGCAAGCCGGCAAACGCGCUCUCGACGAUUGUGCCCAACGAGACCUCCAGGUCAUCAACCGUAUCAAGCAGAUGAUAGUGAAGGAAGCCAUGAACUUGAUCCAGUGUCGAGGAGAGCCGCUUGUCGAGUAGGAGCCGCAGCAGGAGAGGCAGCUUGGGAACGUUAGGAUGCAGACGCAGCAGGUUCCUGGAGGAGCUGCCAGCGUAGUUCCUUCAUUGGAAGGAAGGACUCUCGACAAAAAUUAGAAUCGAGCCUCAUCUUUCUCUGACGUUUGAGGAGUCAUAUAUUGAAAGUCCCGGAGCGGUGGCCACGUGCUGAGUCGACUCAAUAAAACAUUCGUCA